UACAGAGGUCUCAAGCGUUGUUCGGAUUCAUUGGGCGUAAAGGGUGCGUAGGCGGCGCGGUAAGUCGGGUGUGAAAUCUCGGGGCUUAACUCCGAAACUGCAUUCGAUACUGCCGUGCUUGAGGACUGGAGAGGAGACUGGAAUUUACGGUGUAGCGGUGAAAUGCGUAGAUAUCGUAAGGAAGACCAGUGGCGAAGGCGGGUCUCUGGACAGUUCCUGACGCUGAAGCACGAAGGCCAGGGGGAGCAAACGGG
rnacentral:rRNA from 1 species